rnacentral:tRNA from 1 species
GGGCGCUUAGCUCAGUUUGGUUAGAGCGUCUCGUUUACACCGAGAAGGUCCGAGGUUCGAGCCCUCGAGCGCCCA